rnacentral:rRNA from 1 species
GACGAACGCUGGCGGCGUGCUUAACACAUGCAAGUCGAGCGGUAAGGCCCUUUCGGGGGUACGACGAGCGGCGAACGGGUGAGUAACACGUGGGUGACCUGCCCUCAGCUCUGGGAUAAGCCUGGGAAACUGGGUCUAAUACCGGAUAUGACUCCAUGAUGCAUGUUGUGGGGUGGAAAGCCUUGUGCGGCUGAGGAUGGGCCCGCGGCCUAUCAGCUUGUUGGGGGGUGA